AGCACUGUUCGAGUGUCUAAUGCAGUGAAACGAAAAAUGAUCUAGAUCGAUUCUUGAUUGGGAUGAUACCAACUUAUGAAGAGACUCAUUGGUGAGCAUGCAGAUUCAUCUGAAAAAAGCGCUGUAUUUGCGACCGUUUCGGGCAUUAUCGACCUAUCCGACAGAAAGCUGUGGUCGUUGUCCUCACCGCGUCAAAAACAAACUUAUUCUGUUUACAAAAUGUCAGUUAUAAAGGUAACAAAAGGUAAAGUAAAGCAACAAAAUUUACAAUAGCGAA
rnacentral:sRNA from 1 species